CCUGCAGCUUGCUGCGGGUACUCGAGUGGCGAACGGGUGAGUAACACGUGGGUGAUCUGCCUUGCACUUCGGGAUAAGCUUGGGAAACUGGGUCUAAUACCGGAUAGGACAGCUGUUUAGUGUCAGUUGUGGAAAGUUUUUUCGGUGCAAGAUGAGCUCGCGGCCUAUCAGCUUGUUGGUGGGGUAAUGGCCUACCAAGGCGUCGACGGGUAGCCGGCCUGAGAGGGUGUACGGCCACAUUGGGACUGAGAUACGGCCCAGACUCCUACGGGAGGCAGCAGUGGGGAAUAUUGCACAAUGGGCGGAAGCCUGAUGCAGCGACGCCGCGUGGGGGAUGAAGGCCUUCGGGUUGUAAACUCCUUUCGACAGGGACGAAGCGUAAGUGACGGUACCUGUAUAAGAAGCACCGGCUAACUACGUGCCAGCAGCCGCGGUAAUACGUAGGGUGCGAGCGUUGUCCGGAAUUACUGGGCGUAAAGAGCUCGUAGGUGGUUUGUCGCGUCGUCUGUGAAAUUCCGGGGCUUAACUCCGGGCGUGCAGGCGAUACGGGCUGACUUGAGUGCUGUAGGGGAGACUGGAAUUCCUGGUGUAGCGGUGAAAUGCGCAGAUAUCAGGAGGAACACCGAUGGCGAAGGCAGGUCUCUGGGCAGUAACUGACGCUGAGGAGCGAAAGCAUGGGUAGCGAACAGGAUUAGAUACCCUGGUAGUCCAUGCCGUAAACGGUGGGCGCUAGGUGUAGGGGGCUUCCACGUCUUCUGUGCCGUAGCUAACGCAUUAAGCGCCCCGCCUGGGGAUACGC
rnacentral:rRNA from 1 species